rnacentral:lncRNA from 1 species
GGUUUAGAUAAUAAAUUGUUUCUUUGUAUUUACUAUGAAGUUAAUUUUAAAUUUAAUGCUCUGAAAUAAACUUUUUAUACACUUGACACUUAUUUAGAUUUGAUGGUCUGAUCUGGUAGACAGAAAUUCAAAUAAUCCAAAAAAUUAUGAAAUUGUCAAUAUAUGAGUAUAUAUCAAUAUAAAAAUUACAAUGUGUAAUUUAUAAUAAUGAUGACUGCAAUGUUAAGUAUAAGUAAAGUCCCUCUUUCUUACCACACCACCACCAGUAGUAGUAGUAGUGUCAUUGUUUAUACUUUUGAUUCAACUAUGCCAUGGUUUUUCUUGUUACCUAUUCUUUUGAAAGAGUCUGAGGCUGCUGGUUAUAAUGUGGUUGUCUUAUGCAGGUCGGAUCUCUACCUACAAACCUGCAUUAUAACUGGAGAGUGGUGUGGUUGUACGUACAUAAUACAUACACUCCUCUAGUUACAAACAUUUGCAUGCACAAACAUGAAAUUUUAUUUUCAGAUUUCAUAAAGUUUCAAAAACUCUUCAAUAAUUUUUAACAAUAUGAUAACAAAUAUUCUAG